UGACCAUACCAAGAGAGUAAACCAUGUUUUAGCUCGAAUAAAGCCUCUUUGAGUGCACAGACAUUAUUAUUAUUUUUUUAUUCUAAGUUUCAAACAGCCAAGUGGUUGAUUGAUAAAUACAUGUUCUUAAAGGUCACCAUGCAAGAAUGUCUACUUCACGUCCAACAGAAAGAUAGGCAUGAAUAUUGUAUGGUGACUAAACGGCUCUUGUACUUGUCAACUUCUCUAUUCUACUUUAACUU
rnacentral:lncRNA from 1 species